GACUUAGUGGCGGACGGGUGAGUAAUGCGUGAGCAACCUGCCCUUGAUGGGGGACAACAGGUUGGAAACGACUGCUAAUACCGCAUAACGUAUCCGGGAGGCAUCUUCUGGAUACCAAAGAUUUAUUGCUCAAGGAUGGGCUCACGUCUGAUUAGCUGGUUGGCGGGGUAACGGCCCACCAAGGCGACGAUCAGUAGCCGGACUGAGAGGUUGAACGGCCACAUUGGGACUGAGAUACGGCCCAGACUCCUACGGGAGGCAGUAGUGGGGAAUAUUGGGCAAUGGGCGAAAGCCUGAACCCCAGCAACGCCGCGUGAAGGAAGAAGGCCUUCGGGUUGUAAACUUCUUUUAUGAGGGACGAAGGACGUGACGGUACCUCAUGAAUAAGCCACGGCUAACUACGUGCCAGCAGCUGC
rnacentral:rRNA from 1 species